rnacentral:tRNA from 1 species
CCUUAGUGGUCAAAGCAUUGGCGCUUAAAGCCAAAGAGCCCGGGUUCGAUUCCCGG